rnacentral:rRNA from 1 species
UACGGGGGGGGUAAGCGUUGUUCGGAAUUACUGGGCGUAAAGGGCUCGUAGGCGGCCAACUAAGUCAUACGUGAAAUCCCUCGGCUUAACCGGGGAACUGCGUCUGAUACUGGAUGGCUUGAGUUUGGGAGGGGGAUGCGGAAUUCCAGGUGUAGCGGUGAAAUGCGUAGAUAUCUGGAGGAACACCGGUGGCGAAGGCGGCAUCCUGGACCGACACUGACGCUGAGGAGCGAAAGCCAGGGGAGCAAACGGG